GCGCCGCCGCAAUCUUCUUCCUUCUCGUUUUCCCCACCUAGCCAACCACCAUCCUUCUCAGAUCCACCCCCCUCCAACCGCAGCCUCCGACCACCUCCCGUGAUUUCCGCACUGCCCAAAUUCCCAGCAAGCUACGGCCAACCCCGAGUACCGCUCGAGCUCAAAUGGAAUCGCGCCCCUGGAUCCUCUGCUUGAGCACCUCCACGGAGCCAAGCUUCCGCGCCCCCUCUUGUUCUUCUCGAGAGCCAGCAGAGCUCACCCGCCCUCUCUGCUUCUUCUUGAGCACGCCAUGGGCGCCUCCUUUGCUCGUCCCCGCCUCUGUCUCGACUUUGCCAUGCUCCUCCUCUGCCCGAUGCCUCCCUCCUCGCACCCACAGGCUCCUCCGCUCGAGGGCCUCCGUGUCGUCUUCGUCAAGCACAGGGAGAUGAACCCCUCCCGAGACCAACCCCGCUAGGGCCUUCAAGCUGCUGCCUCCCCGUCAUCAUCUUCAAGCCCGCUGCUGCCGCGUCCUCGUCCGCGUCCUGUCCCGACUCCGUAGGCCGCGCCCUCUGGCGACCCCGCUUCGAGCGACCUCGACCACCAGGCCGUCCCGUGCGCCUCCCUGUUGGCAUCCCGCCAUCGAGCCACUCCGACCUACAGAACUACGCCGCCCGGAUCACCUGCGACCUCGGGUCCCCUGCUUCGUCCUCGCCGCCCGUUGGUGCUCCGGACCACCGCCAUGGAUGGCUGUGCCCCGCGCCCGAGCUCCGUCUGCCGCCGCCUUUGCCCGGAACUGACGCCGCACAACUCGAUCCGCCCGUUCCCUCCGGAUUCCGCUGAGACCGUCGUCGGGACCCUCCUGCCGUCGUCGCCUGCAUCACCAUGGACGUGAUGUUUUUUCUGUUCUUCAGAAGCAAACAGCAGUAGCGCGCCUCGUCCCUCUCGCGUUGACCCGCCAGCGCCAAGGCCCAACCUGCGUACGGCCCGACUCUUGCCUCAUUCAGGCCCAGUAGCCCGUGCCCUGCCAGGCCGCCUCUCCACAGUAUCGGGGCCGCGGCCCAUGUGUUGCUUCUUCGGGUUGGUUCCGAUAACAUCGUGUUUGUGAGGAUCC